UACCCUACGGGAGGCAGCAGUCGGGAAUAUUGCACAAUGGAGGAAACUCUGAUGCAGUGACACCGCGUAUAGGAAGAAGGUUUUCGGAUUGUAAACUAUUUUAGACAGGGAAGAAAAAAGACAGUACCUGUAGAAUAAGCUCCGGCUAACUACGUGCCAGCAGCCGCGGUAAUACGUAGGGAGCGAGCGUUGUCCGGAUUUACUGGGUGUAAAGGGUGCGUAGGCGGCUUGGCAAGUCAGUAGUGAAAUCCAUGGGCUUAACCCAUGAACUGCUAUUGAAACUGUCGAGCUUGAGUGAAGUAGAG
rnacentral:rRNA from 1 species